GACGAACGCUGGCGGCGUGCUUAACACAUGCAAGUCGAACGGAAAGGCCCUGCUUUUGUGGGGUGCUCGAGUGGCGAACGGGUGAGUAACACGUGAGUAACCUGCCCUUGACUUUGGGAUAACUUCAGGAAACUGGGGAUAAUACCGGAUAGGAGCUCCUGCUGCAUGGUGGGGGUUGGAAAGUUUCGGCGGUUGGGGAUGGACUCGCGGGUUAUCAGCUUGUUGGUGGGGUAGUGGCUUACCAAGGCUUUGACGGGUAGCCGGCCUGAGAGGGUGACCGGAGAAACUGCAACUGAGACACGGUCAAGACUCCGACAGGAGGCACGAGUGGGGCAUCGGCGGCAAUAGGCGAAAGCCUAUCGGAGCGGCGCGGAGUGAGUGAUGAAGGUCUUCGGUUCGUAAAACGCUGUUAUAAGGUAAGAAACAAUUUGUUUGUAAAUCUGCCCCUCAUGACGGUACCGAAUCAGAAAGCCCCGGCUAACUACGUG
rnacentral:rRNA from 1 species